UCUUAGCAACCGAUUGGUCCUAGUCCUAUACUUGGUCCUCUCUAAAUCGAUACAUGCAAGCUCAUAGCGGCACAGUGAGUAAUUAAACUAGUAGCCACCCUAAAAAGAUGUAGUUACAAGUAAAGGUAUCAAAAGACUUAUUCCCCAAUUUGACAACGCCUAGCCACCCACAUCUGCAGUACCUAACAUUAUACAAUAAGUAAAAACUUGAUAUAGUUAUAGACUUAAGAGUCGGUAAAUUAUGUGCCAGCCACCGCGGUUAUACAUAAGACUCGAGCCAAGAAAUCCACCCGGUCUAAAGGUGACUAAAGAUACACUUCGCUUUAAGGUAGAAAACCACUCUAGUAUUAAUAAGCUUUCACAGUAAACUAAUUACAAAUUUAACGUUACCUUAAACCCCACCUAACUUGAAGCACCAAAGCUCAAAAAUAAACUGGGAUUAGAUACCCCACUAUAUGAGCCCUAAAAAUUCGAAAACACCAGAG
rnacentral:rRNA from 1 species